rnacentral:misc_RNA from 1 species
GAUGAAGAACGUAGCGAAAUGUGAUACGUAAUGUGAAUUGCAGAUUUCAGUGAAUCAUCGAAUCUUUGAACGCACAUUGCGCCCGCCAGUAUUCUGGCGGGCAUGCCUGUUCGAGCGUCAUUUCAACCAUCAAGCCUUCGCUUGUGUUGGGGCCCCGCGGCUGCCGCGGCCCCCUAAAUCCAGUGGCGGGCUCGUCGUCGUACCGAGCGCAGUAGACAUCCUCGCUCCGGGAACCCGACGGGUGCCGGCCGUGAAACCCCCCCCAUCAAGGUUGACCUCGGAUCAGGUAGGAAUACCCGCUGAACUUAAGCAUAUCAAUAAGCGGAGGA